CAAUAGCGUAUAUUAAAGCUGUUGCGGUUAAAAAGCUCGUAGUUGGAUUUCUGUCAAGGACAACUGGUCCGCCCUCCGGGUGAGCACAUAGUUUGGUCUUGACAUCUUGCUGGAAGCUGUUGCUGCACUUGGCUGUGUGGCGCAGUGUUCAGCACUUUCACUUUGAGGAAAUUGGAGUGUUUCAAGCAGGCACAUGCCUUUGGACACAGUAGCAUGGAAUAAUUAGAUUGGGCUUUUGCUCCAAUUUGUCGGUUUCUGGAGCUGAGGUGAGUAUUAAUGGGGAUUGUUGGGGGCAUCCGAAUUUAGCCAUCAGAGGUGAAAUUCUUGGAUCUGCUAAAGACGGACAACUGCGAAAGCGUUUGCCCAGGAUGUUUUCAUUGA
rnacentral:rRNA from 1 species